UCCGAGGACUUUCUCCUCUUCCUGUGACUGU
rnacentral:piRNA from 1 species